rnacentral:misc_RNA from 1 species
UCGUAACAAGGUCUCCGUUGGUGAACCAGCGGAGGGAUCAUUACAGAGUUACUACUCCAAACCCAUUGUGAACCUUACCUAUGUUCUGUUGCCUCGGCGGCGUGGUCAGCGCCCCCUCUGAAAAGAGGACGAUGCCCUCCCGCCGGCAGCACCAAACUCUUUGAAUUUUACAGCGGAUUACAGUUCUGAUUUGAAAACAAAAAACAAGUUAAAACUUUCAACAACGGAUCUCUUGGUUCUGGCAUCGAUGAAGAACGCAGCGAAAUGCGAUAAGUAAUGUGAAUUGCAGAAUUCAGUGAAUCAUCGAAUCUUUGAACGCACAUUGCGCCCGGCAGUAAUCUGCCGGGCAUGCCUGUCCGAGCGUCAUUUCAACCCUCGAACCUCCGUUUCCUCAGGGAAGCUCAGGGUCGGUGUUGGGGCGCUACGGCGAGUCUUCGCGACCCUCCGUAGGCCCUGAAAUACAGUGGCGGUCCCGCCGCGGUUGCCUUCUGCGUAGUAAGUCUCUUUUGCAAGCUCGCAUUGGGUCCCGGCGGAGGCCUGCCGUCAAACCACCUAUAACUCCAGAUGGUUUGACCUCGGAUCAGGUAGGGUUACCCGCUGAACCUAAGCAUAUCA